ACAACUUUCAACAACGGAUCUCUUGGCUCUCGCACCGAUGAAGAACGCAGCGAAAUGCGAUAAGUAAUGUGAAUUGCAGAAUUCAGUGAAUCAUCGAAUCUUUGAACGCACCUUG
rnacentral:rRNA from 1 species